CAGAGGAGAAGGCAGAAGAGCGGAGCCGGCCGCGGAGCACCCACACUGGCGGCUGCAGGAGCGCGGGGCCUGUCUGGAAUCUUAUGAUUGGACUGAAGUCCUGCAUCCCCACCAAGAACACCACAGAAAUGGUUCCUCAUCCUUCUCAGUACAGCAGAUCACAGCAUGCAUGAUAUCAAUACUUAACACUUGGUUCAUUGUAUUUCUUCAUUCAUUAUGAAACCCGUUGGUACCAUAAUGGGCUUCUACAACAUGGCAGUUCAUGGAGGUUUUAAAGAAAAAUCGCGUGCAGGACCCCACCCUGGAAUUCAAUCUGGUUCAGUGCUAUUUAGCUCUCAGAGUAUUUGGAAGUUGUGAAAAAAUAUGAGUGUGACUACCUAUCUCACAGAGUGCCCGGUCCUCCUCAGAUCACACAGCUGGUAUGUGUGUGCCCAGGUUCCAGGUCUUCGGCCUCAGAGUCAGAUGUGCUGUCAACUCCUCUCUGGCAACCUGACUGACAUGUUGUAGAUCUGCAGUGAAUAUUUUUUCUACUGAUGAACAUACAGAUAGAUACCUUUUACUCUGAAGAUGGAUGAACAACGGUAAAUAAAACUGCCAUAGUCAUCUGCAUUGUAAGUUUUGUA